rnacentral:tRNA from 1 species
GCCACUGUAGCUCAGUCGGUAGAGCAACGCAUUCGUAACGCGUAGGUCACCAGUUCAAGUCUGGUUAGUGGCUC